rnacentral:misc_RNA from 1 species
CGAGAAAGAAGCAAUAUUUAACAAGUUUGACGUAAUUGCUUAUAAGAAAAGUGAGUAAAGGGGAAGCCAAGUAACAUCUAUGUAUGACAUUCUCAAAACAGUGGAAGAGGAGAGGGGAAUGAAUGUUACAACUGCUGCAUGCAAAAGUUAACUACAUACAUAAAAAAGCAUGCAAACCUGUAAAUAUACUGAUUUUCACACAUCAUAACGAAAGCACCUAAGCAUAACAUGAAAGCAAAGGUCCAUUUUUGUCUUCAAAGACAGAAUUACUAUGCUCCUACCAAGGCAGUUAAAUGGGUAAAGAAGCUAUCAUUUGCACUUCUAUGCCAUUUUAUUUUGAAAACUAAAAGAGAUGUCGUUUAAUAAUUCCACAGACAUAGUUCAACUUUUGAAACAAUAAUGCUUAUCCUACUUAAUAUAACCAGUUAUAAUGCUAAAGAAACUGAUUUCAUUUCUUGAACGCUCAAUUGUUAUGGGCAUCCUUCUGUUUGUAAAAUAUGAGAGAUGGAAACACUGUUGAUGUACAACAAGAAGAAACUAAAGAUUAAUGGAAACACUGUUGAUGC